rnacentral:rRNA from 1 species
UUCCAGACUCCUACGGGAGGCAGCAGUGGGGAAUAUUGGGCAAUGGGCGCAAGCCUGACCCAGCAACGCCGCGUGAAGGAAGAAGGCUUUCGGGUUGUAAACUUCUUUUAAGAGGGAAGAGCAGAAGACGGUACCUCUUGAAUAAGCCACGGCUAACUACGUGCCAGCAGCCGCGGUAAUACGUAGGUGGCAAGCGUUGUCCGGAUUUACUGGGUGUAAGGGGCGUGUAGCCGGGCUGACAAGUCAGAUGUGAAAUCCCGUGGCUCAACCACGGAACUGCAUUUGAAACUGUCGGUCUUGAGUAUCGGAGAGGCAGGCGGAAUUCCUAGUGUAGCGGUGAAAUGCGUAGAUAUUAGGAGGAACACCAGUGGCGAAGGCGGCCUGCUGGACGACAACUGACGGUGAGGCGCGAAAGCGUGGGGAGCAAACAGGAUUAGAUACCCCUGUACC